rnacentral:misc_RNA from 1 species
ACCUUGUGAAUGGUGAAGGUUGGCUGCAGAUAUUUGAACCCAAGCAAAGGAGCUCGCGAACAACUAGUCACAAACUUAAGCAGCAAACACCGUUCUUUUGGUUCAAAACUUGCAAAUACCUCCCAGAAGAGUUUAACUGUCCGACUUCCUUCAGUAUAACCUCCAGUAUAGCGUGUAUUCUUCCUUAAAUCAUCAAUGUCAAUAUCAUGGUUUCCCCCUGAAAGCAACUGAUUAAAUUCACUUGCGUUAAACAACUUUAACCAGGAAGGGGAUAUAAGGUCCGUCAGUCCUCUAUAAAAUGCAUUUGAG